rnacentral:rRNA from 1 species
CAGAGGGGGCAAGCGUUGUUCGGAAUUACUGGGCGUAAAGGGCGCGUAGGCGGCCUUCUAAGUCGAACGUGAAAUCCCCGGGCUCAACCCGGGAACUGCGUCCGAGACUGGAAGGCUCGAAUCCGGGAGAGGGAUGUGGAAUUCCAGGUGUAGCGGUGAAAUGCGUAGAAAUCUGGAGGAACAUCGGUGGCGAAGGCGGCAUCCUGGACCGGUAUUGACGCUGAGGCGCGAAAGCCAGGGGAGCAAACGGGAUUAGAUACCCCGGUAGUCCUGGCCCUAAACGAUGAAUGCUUGGUGUGGCGGGUAUCGAUCCCUGCCGUGCCGAAGCUAACGCAUUAAGCAUUCCGCCUGGGGAGUACGGUCGCAAGGCUG